GGCCUCUGGUUUUCAAAUGAAGGUUUACUUGGCGGUUGGUAUUUAGGGGAAUUUUCGCUUUUUUUUUUAUUUUUUUUAAUCUCUCUUCUUUUUUGUUGUUUUUAAUCUAUGUCAAUUUUGGAUUAGGACUGAAGCAAGACUGAAGCUUUUUUACUUUACGCAAGAUUCUCUGUUCUCUUAUCUAAUCUUAUUUAUUGUGUUUAUGAUAGGACUUUCAUGGCGCAUUCAUUCUUUUCAGAUAACUAUAUUGUGUUUUAAAUAUUUGCUUCUUUUCUACUCUUAAGCUCGCUUUACAUGGAAGAUAACUUUAAGCUUUCUAUGAACCAGAAAAAAGAGCAAUGAAGAAACGCAAUCUAGA
rnacentral:misc_RNA from 1 species